rnacentral:rRNA from 1 species
AGGGAAUCUUCCGCAAUGGACGAAAGUCUGACGGAGCAACGCCGCGUGAGUGAUGAAGGCCUUCGGGUCGUAAAACUCUGUUGCUAGGGAAGAACAAGUAUCGGAGUAACUGCCGGUACCUUGACGGUACCUAACCAGAAAGCCACGGCUAACUACGUGCCAGCAGCCGCGGUAAUACGUAGGUGGCAAGCGUUGUCCGGAAUUAUUGGGCGUAAAGCGCGCGCAGGCGGUCCCUUAAGUCUGAUGUGAAAGCCCACGGCUCAACCGUGGAGGGUCAUUGGAAACUGGGGGACUUGAGUACAGAAGAGGAAAGCGGAAUUCCACGUGUAGCGGUGAAAUGCGUAGAGAUGUGGAGGAACACCAGUGGCGAAGGCGGCUUUCUGGUCUGUAACUGACACUGAGGCUCGAAAGCGUGGGGAGCAAAC